UACGGAGGGGGCUAGCGUUGUUCGGAAUUACUGGGCGUAAAGCGCACGUAGGCGGCUUUGUAAGUCAGAGGUGAAAGCCCGGAGCUUAACUCCGGAAUUGCCUUUGAGACUGCAUCGCUUGAAUCCAGGAGAGGUGAGUGGAAUUCCGAGUGUAGAGGUGAAAUUCGUAGAUAUUCGGAAGAACACCAGUGGCGAAGGCGGCUCACUGGAGCUGGUAUUGACGCUGAGGUGCGAAAGCGUGGGGAGCAAACAGG
rnacentral:rRNA from 1 species